rnacentral:pre_miRNA from 1 species
AAUAAGUGCAGUUAUGGUUUUUCGCGUCUAACUUUGACCGUUCGUCUUAUUUGAAAACUUUUUAAAAAAAUUAAAAACAUAAGCCACGAAUAAAGUACUAUUCAUGUUUUAUCAUCUCAUAACAACAAAAAUACUAAUUAUAAAAAAAUUUCAAAUAAAACGGACAAUCAAAGUUGGACACAGAAACUUAUGGCUACACUUAUU